rnacentral:rRNA from 1 species
UGGGGAAUAUUGCACAAUGGGCGAAAGCCUGAUGCAGCAACGCCGCGUGAGUGAUGAAGGCCUUCGGGUUGUAAAGCUCUGUCUUUGGGGACGAUUAUGACGGUACCCAAGGAGGAAGCCACGGCUAACUACGUGCCAGCAGCCGCGGUAAUACGUAGGUGGCAAGCGUUGUCCGGAUUUACUGGGCGUAAAGGAUGCGUAGGCGGAUAUUUAAGUCAGAUGUGAAAACCCCGGGCUCAACUUGGGGACUGCAUUUGAAACUGGAUAUCUAGAGUGCGGGAGAGGAAAGUGGAAUUCCUAGUGUAGCGGUGAAAUGCGUAGAGAUUAGGAAGAACACCAGUGGCGAAGGCGACUUUCUGGACCGUAACUGACGCUGAGGCAUGAAAGCGUGGGGAGCAAACAGGAUUAGAUACCCUGGUAGUCCACGCCGUAAACGAUGGGUACUAGGUGUAGGGGGUAUCGGACUCCCUCUGUGCCGCAGUUAACACAAUAAGUACCCCGCCUGGGG